UACGUAGGGUGCUAGCGUUGUCCGGAUUUAUUGGGCGUAAAGGGCUCGUAGGCGGCGUGUCGCGUCGGGGAGUGAAAGCCCGCUGCUUAACGGCGGGUUGGCUUCCGGUACGGGCAUCGCUGGAGUGCGGCAGGGGGAGACUGGAAUUCCUGGUGUAGCGGUGGAAAUGCGCAGAUAUCAGGAGGAACACCGGUGGCGAAGGCGGGUCUCUGGGCCUACUGACGCUGAGGAGCGAAAGCUGGGGGAGCGAACAGGAUUAGAAAC
rnacentral:rRNA from 1 species